rnacentral:rRNA from 1 species
UACAGAGGUCUCAAGCGUUUGUUCGGAUUCAUUGGGCGUAAAGGGUGCGUAGGUGGCGCCGUAAGUCAGGUGUGAAAUUUCGGAGCUUAACUCCGAAACUGCAUUUGAUACUGCGGUGCUUGAGGACUGGGAGAUGGAGACUGGAAUUUACGGUGUAGCAGUGAAAUGCGUAGAGAUCGUAAGGAAGACCAGUGGCGAAGGCGGGUCUCUGGACAGUUCCUGACACUGAGGCACGAAGGCCAGGGGAGCAAACGGG